UACGUAGGGUGCGAGCGUUAAUCGGAAUUACUGGGCGUAAAGCGUGCGCAGGCGGUUUUGUAAGCCAGAUGUGAAAUCCCCGGGCUUAACCUGGGAAUGGCAUUUGGGACUGCAAGGCUUGAGUUUGGCAGAGGAGACUGGAAUUCCUGGUGUAGCAGUGAAAUGCGUAGAUAUCAGGAGGAAUACCGAUGGCGAAGGCAGGUCUCUGGGCUAGAACUGACGCUCAUGCACGAAAGCGUGGGGAGCGAA
rnacentral:rRNA from 1 species